rnacentral:rRNA from 1 species
UACGUAGGGGGCAAGCGUUGUCCGGAAUCAUUGGGCGUAAAAGGAGCGCGUAGGCGGUCCGAUAAGUCGGUUGUUGAAAACUGGGGGCUCAAACCCUCAGAGGCCGAACCGAUACUGUCGGGCUAGAGUCCGGAAGAGGCGAGUGGAAUUCCUGGUGUAGCGGUGAAAUGCGCAGAUAUCUAGGAGGAACACCGGUGGCGAAGGCGGGAUCCUGGGCCAGUACUGACGCUGAGGAGCGAAAGCGGUGGGGAGCAAACGGGG